rnacentral:tRNA from 2 species
GGUUGCUUCGUCCAGUGGUAGGAUACCUCUUUCGGGUAGAGGUGGUCGCGAGUUCGAAUCCCGCAGUGACCC